UCCGGUUUGUCACCGGCAGUCUCAUUAGAGUGCCCAACUGAAUGUAGCAACUAAUGACAAGGGUUGCGCUCGUUGCGGGACUUAACCCAACAUCUCACGACACGAGCUGACGACAGCCAUGCAGCACCUCUCACUACAUUUCCUUGCGGACACCCCAAACAUUACUUCGGGUUCGUAGGAGUUCAAGCCUAGGUAAGGUUCUGCGCGUUGCUUCGAAUUAAACCACAUAAUCCACCGCUUGUGCGGGCCCCCGUCAAUUUGUUUGAGUUUUAGUCUUGCGACCGUACUCCCCAGGCGGAGAACUUAAUGCGUUAGCUGCGUCACUGAGGGAGUCAAUACCCCCAAUAACUAGUUCUCAUCGUUUACGGCGUGGACUAC
rnacentral:misc_RNA from 1 species